UUAAGUUAGAAAGGGCGCACGGUGGAUGCCUUGACACUAGGAGUCGAUGAAGGACGGGACUAACGCCGAUAUGCUUCGGGGAGCUGUAAGUAAGCUUUGAUCCGAAGAUUUCCGAAUGGGGAAACCCACCAUACGUAAUGGUAUGGUAUCCUUAUCUGAAUACAUAGGGUAAGGAAGACAGACCCAGGGAACUGAAACAUCUAAGUACCUGGAGGAAGAGAAAGCAAAUGCGAUUUCCUGAGUAGCGGCGAGCGAAACGGAACAUAGCCCAAACCAAGAGGCUUGCCUCUUGGGGUUGUAGGACAUUCUAUACGGAGUUACAAAGGAACGAGGUAGACGAAGCGACCUGGAAAGGUCCGUCGUAGAGGGUAACAACCCCGUAGUCGAAACUUCGUUCUCUCUUGAAUGUAUCCUGAGUACGGCGGAACACGUGAAAUUCCGUCGGAAUCUGGGAGGACCAUCUCCCAAGGCUAAAUACUCCCUAGUGAUCGAUAGUGAACCAGUACCGUGAGGGAAAGGUGAAAAGCACCCCGGAAGGGGAGUGAAAGAGAUCCUGAAACCGUGUGCCUACAAAUAGUCAGAGCCCGUUAACGGGUGAUGGCGUGCCUUUUGUAGAAUGAACCGGCGAGUUACGAUCCCGUGCGAGGUUAAGCUGAAGAGGCGGAGCCGCAGCGAAAGCGAGUCUGAAUAGGGCGUUUAGUACGUGGUCGUAGACCCGAAACCAGGUGAUCUACCCAUGUCCAGGGUGAAGUUCAGGUAACACUGAAUGGAGGCCCGAACCCACGCACGUUGAAAAGUGCGGGGAUGAGGUGUGGGUAGCGGAGAAAUUCCAAUCGAACCUGGAGAUAGCUGGUUCUCCCCGAAAUAGCUUUAGGGCUAGCCUUAAGUGUAAGAGUCUUGGAGGUAGAGCACUGAUUGGACUAGGGGUCCUCAUCGGAUUACCGAAUUCAGUCAAACUCCGAAUGCCAAUGACUUAUCCUUAGGAGUCAGACUGCGAGUGAUAAGAUCCGUAGUCAAAAGGGAAACAGCCCAGACCGCCAGCUAAGGUCCCAAAGUGUGUAUUAAGUGGAAAAGGAUGUGGAGUUGCUUAGACAACUAGGAUGUUGGCUUAGAAGCAGCCACCAUUUAAAGAGUGCGUAAUAGCUCACUAGUCGAGUGACUCUGCGCCGAAAAUGUACCGGGGCUAAAUACACCACCGAAGCUGCGGAUUGAUACCAAUGGUAUCAGUGGUAGGGGAGCGUUCUAAGGACAGUGAAGUCAGACCGGAAGGACUGGUGGAGUGCUUAGAAGUGAGAAUGCCGGUAUGAGUAGCGAAAGACGGGUGAGAAUCCCGUCCACCGAAUGCCUAAGGUUUCCUGAGGAAGGCUCGUCCGCUCAGGGUUAGUCAGGACCUAAGCCGAGGCCGACAGGCGUAGGCGAUGGACAACAGGUUGAUAUUCCUGUACCACCUCUUUAUCGUUUGAGCAAUGGAGGGACGCAGAAGGAUAGAAGAAGCGUGCGAUUGGUUGUGCACGUCCAAGCAGUUAGGCUGAUAAGUAGGCAAAUCCGCUUAUCGUAAAGGCUGAGCUGUGAUGGGGAAGCUCCUUAUGGAGCGAAGUCUUUGAUUCCCCGCUGCCAAGAAAAGCUUCUAGCGAGAUAAAAGGUGCCUGUACCGCAAACCGACACAGGUAGGCGAGGAGAGAAUCCUAAGGUGUGCGAGAGAACUCUGGUUAAGGAACUCGGCAAAAUGACCCCGUAACUUCGGGAGAAGGGGUGCUUUCUUAACGGAAAGCCGCAGUGAAUAGGCCCAAGCGACUGUUUAGCAAAAACACAGCUCUCUGCGAAGCCGUAAGGCGAAGUAUAGGGGGUGACACCUGCCCGGUGCUGGAAGGUUAAGAGGAGUGCUUAGCGUAAGCGAAGGUAUGAAUUGAAGCCCCAGUAAACGGCGGCCGUAACUAUAACGGUCCUAAGGUAGCGAAAUUCCUUGUCGGGUAAGUUCCGACCCGCACGAAAGGUGUAACGAUUUGGGCACUGUCUCAACCAGAGACUCGGUGAAAUUAUAGUACCUGUGAAGAUGCAGGUUACCCGCGACAGGACGGAAAGACCCCGUGGAGCUUUACUGUAGCCUGAUAUUGAAUUUUGGUACAGUUUGUACAGGAUAGGCGGGAGCCAUUGAAACCGGAGCGCUAGCUUCGGUGGAGGCGCUGGUGGGAUACCGCCCUGACUGUAUUGAAAUUCUAACCUACGGGUCUUAUCGACCCGGGAGACAGUGUCAGGUGGGCAGUUUGACUGGGGCGGUCGCCUCCUAAAGUGUAACGGAGGCGCCCAAAGGUUCCCUCAGAAUGGUUGGAAAUCAUUCGUAGAGUGCAAAGGCAUAAGGGAGCUUGACUGCGAGACCUACAAGUCGAGCAGGGACGAAAGUCGGGCUUAGUGAUCCGGUGGUUCCGCAUGGAAGGGCCAUCGCUCAACGGAUAAAAGCUACCCCGGGGAUAACAGGCUUAUCUCCCCCAAGAGUCCACAUCGACGGGGAGGUUUGGCACCUCGAUGUCGGCUCAUCGCAUCCUGGGGCUGUAGUCGGUCCCAAGGGUUGGGCUGUUCGCCCAUUAAAGCGGUACGCGAGCUGGGUUCAGAACGUCGUGAGACAGUUCGGUCCCUAUCCGUCGCGGGCGUAGGAAAUUUGAGAGGAUCUGCUCCUAGUACGAGAGGACCAGAGUGGACUUACCGCUGGUGUACCAGUUGUCUUGCCAAAGGCAUCGCUGGGUAGCUAUGUAGGGAAGGGAUAAACGCUGAAAGCAUCUAAGUGUGAAACCCACCUCAAGAUGAGAUUUCCCAUGAUUAUAUAUCAGUAAGAGCCCUGAGAGAUGAUCAGGUAGAUAGGUUAGAAGUGGAAGUGUGGCGACACAUGUAGCGGACUAAUACUAAUAGCUCGAGGACUUAUCCAA
rnacentral:rRNA from 1 species